rnacentral:rRNA from 1 species
GAUGAACGCUGGCGGCGUGCCUAAUACAUGCAAGUCGAGCGAACAGACGAGGAGCUUGCUCCUCUGACGUUAGCGGCGGGCGGGUGAGUAACACGUGUAUAACCUACCUAUAUGACUGGGAUCACCUCGGGAAACCGGAGCUUAUACCGGAUAAUCUAUUGAACCGCAUGGUUGGAUAGUGAAAGACGGCUUUGCUGUCACUUCUCCAUGGUUCCCCGCCGGAUUAGCUAGUUGGUAGGGUAACGGCUUACCAAGGCGACGAUGCGUAGCCGACCUGAGAGGGUGAUCGGCCACACUGGAACUGAGACACGGUCCAGACUACUACGGGAGGCAGCAGUAGGGAAUCUUACGCAAUGGGCGAAAGCCUGACGGAGCAACGCCGCGUGAGUGAUGAAGGUCUUCGGAUCGUAAAACUCUGUUAGUAGGGAAGAACAGAUUUGUAAGUAAACAUGCACGUAUUGACGGUACCUGAUAAGGAAGCCACGGCUAACUACGUG